AUCGCUUCUCGGCCCCAGGCUAAGAUCGAAUUUAUAGUUUCUGUUCUAAUCAGCUUAAUAUCUGAUUCGCUUCUACCAGAAGCUUCGAUAUUAAAUUGAUUUUUGGAAACUGGCGAAAGGUUGGAGCUCGCUCCUCCUUUGUCGCGGGUUGGCUCGGGUUUGCACUGUUCCCGAGAACGGCCCACACCCC